UACGGAGGAUGCAAGCGUUAUCCGGAAUGAUUGGGCGUAAAGCGUCCGCAGGUGGCUAUGUAAGUCUGCUGUUAAAGAGUGAGGCUCAACCUCAUAAGAGCAGUGGAAACUACAUGGCUAGAGUGCGUUCGGGGCAGAGGGAAUUCCUGGUGUAGCGGUGAAAUGCGUAGAUAUCAGGAAGAACACCGGUGGCGAAAGCGCUCUGCUAGGCCGCAACUGACACUGAGGUACGAAAGCUAGGGGAGCGAAUGGG
rnacentral:rRNA from 1 species